UAGGUGAAGACGUGAAGACAGGACCUUUGAGGUUAGAGCGAAUCUGGCAAGCGGCAAGCUGAAGCGAGGCCAGGAGCUAAGACUCGACCUCUGCAACCACAUAUAGGUUAAAUCAGCAUACACACCCGGGAUGAUCUGAGCUCAUCAGUCAGGAGGGUUAGCUCUGACGGGUCUCCCCUCAAGGAAGGUUCCUUGACGCUGGUAUAUUCAUAAAGAACAUAGGUGUGAAUGUGGAGGAUCCUGUGUAGUGAAGGUAAAACAGGAGCCGCGUGUAUGUGUAUGUAGGAAGCUGUACAUUCUGAGCUCACUCAGUGUGGUGUUGGAUGUGCGAAGGGACGGGUACGCGGCGCAAUGGCUGAACAGGGAGCACGUAACGACAGCGGCCUCCAGAUAUCUGAAGCUGCUUUGUCUAAACCCGUAGCCAACGGGGAAAAGGUACCAGCCAGAGGUCUUGCGUCAAUGUUAAGUGGGUCAACUUUCGGACGACGUGGUUUUUUUUUUUUUUUUAAUAAAUAUGAAAAUUAAAAUUGUUUUCAAAUACAAUAAAAUAAGAUGCAUUCAGUAUGGUUUGUUUGUUAUAGCUAUAAUGUAAUGGUAAGCGAUGUUCCUCUGUGUAAAAGCAAGCAUAAGUUUUGUAUGCUGCGGUGUAAAAAAUCGGCUCACAUCUAAAGGCAUUACAAAAUUAUAUGUUUGAUAAUUGAAAUAUUUGAAAUAAUUAAAUCAGCCUGAUAAAUCAGAAUGAGUUUCUUUUUUUGUUGGAUUUAUGAUUGUACAGUAUUUUCCUAAUGUUACAGUUCUGGAGAAUGUUGGAAACAAGUGCUACAAGGAAAAUAACCCUGUUUUUUGUAACAGUUGUUUUUUACUACUAAAUUAACUAUCACUGCUUGGAAGAAUAUGAAUUUACAGCUGUAUUUUUCUGUUUUGAGAUGUCAUGGAUGCUUCAACUUGACCACUUGUCAUCUUUGGGAUUAAUUCUUUCCAAGUGGGAGGCUUUGAUGCCUUUGAAGAUGUCUUAAUCCAAGGAAUUGGAGUUACUCUUGAUAAAAUCUGAUGUCAUCCUUUUCCCCAGGCACUAUAUGACCCCCAUGUGUGUAGCUGUACCCUGUGAAUACAAUAAUUUGGGGGUUCUUGCUCAUAUUUUAGGAUGCACUUUGGUAAGUUUGCUUCUAGGACCGAGCAAAUUAAUUUGUUGGUUAUCCUCUCAAUCCUAGACAAGUCUGUAAAUGUUUAGCUAUUUAAGUAAUAAAAUUUUUUCAUUACCAUAUGGUAUACAGUGGAGCAUCGAAAUGCAUGUACUGUAUAGUAUAUAGGAAUACUCAUUAUUGAUAAUGCUUUCGAUGUAAUGCCUCAUAGUUAUCAAAAUUAGAAAAACUUGAAGCAAACUACAUAUGUCAUUAUUAUGAUUUAAAUAUCAAAUAGACUUAGCCGGUACAGAACAAAAAGGUACAACACCUUGACUGGAACAAUACACAACUAACCCAAUGUUCGGGUUAUUUGUGUAAACUUAGCCAGUCUUUGUCAUGUCUUAAAAAAUUUGUAUUGUAUAUUGUGGAUAGCCUCUUCCUUGGCAUUCCAAAAAGGUUGUCUAUACCUGGCAUGCAAGAUUGUUCUUCAUCAAAGGGUAUCCCAGCAUUAGUUGAAAGUUCAGCUUGCAUCCUUCCAGCAGUUCUGUAUUUUUUACACAUGGGCAGGAUAGGUUGAUGCUACCUCUUCACAGGAAGGCAGAAUAUUUGAGUGGCAGAUGCAGUUCAGUACAGAUAAAUACAGUGGACCCCCGCAUAACGAUCACCUUCGAAUGCGACCAAUUAUGUAAGUGUAUUUAUGUAAGUGCGUUUGUACGUGUAUGUUUGGGGGUCUGAAAUGGACUGAUCUACUUCACAAUAUUCCUUAUGGGAACAAAUUCGGUCAGUACUGGCACCUGAACAUACUUCUGGAGUGAAAAAAUAUCGUUAACCGGGGGUCCACUGUACAAGGAUUUACUUCUAGGAAAAGAAAUUAACUGGCAUAUACAAGGUAAAUAAUUUAGAUCUUAUUCAAACUGAACAUGAAAAAGUUUAAGGAGUUCUGGUUAGCAGAAAUGUAAAACUAAGAAAACGGUGCAUAAGUAUUUGCGAUGCAACUAAUAGAAUUCUUGGCUUCAUAUUGAGAAGUAUAAUAGAAGUCAUGAGGUGAUAAUUUAACUCUAUAUUUCUUUGGUAAAGCUUCAUUUAAAUUAUGCUGCUAAUUUCUGGCCUCCAUAUUACAAAAUGGACAUAAAUGAGCUGGAAAGUUUUUAGAGAAGGAUGGUAAAGUUAAUCAAGUGUAUUGGAAAUCUUUCCUAUGAAAAUAGCCUUAAGGCACUGAAUUUGUAGUGUGUGGAAUGACUUAAAAUUAGGGGAUAUGAUUGAAUUGAACAAAUAUAAAUACGUAAAUAGUUUUUUAACACGCCUACCGUCACCCACCAAUAUGGGGUGACUCAAAAACGAGCAAAAACAUUAAUCAUUUAGUCAGUUAUGCCACAAGUAUGCUGACAUCACAGUUCAGAUGGUCCUUUGAACUGCAACAGUCUUAUCCGUCUUUUAGAAUGCAGGCACACAUUUGAUAUACCUUUGAAGAGUUUCGAGAGUUUCACUACU